rnacentral:rRNA from 1 species
UACGUAGGGUGCGAGCGUUGUCCGGAAUUAUUGGGCGUAAAGAGCUCGUAGGCGGCCUGUCGCGUCGGAUGUGAAAGCCCGGGGCUUAACCCCGGGUCUGCAUUCGAUACGGGCAGGCUAGAGUUCGGUAGGGGAGAUCGGAAUUCCUGGUGUAGCGGUGAAAUGCGCAGAUAUCAGGAGGAACACCGGUGGCGAAGGCGGGUCUCUGGGCCGAUACUGACACUGAGGAGCGAAAGCGUGGGGAGCGAACAGG